CCUACGGGAGGCAGCAGUGGGGAAUAUUGGACAAUGGGCGAAAGCCUGAUCCAGCCAUGCCGCGUGUGUGAAGAAGGCCUUCGGGUUGUAAAGCACUUUCAGUGGGGAAGAAAGCCUUGGGGCUAAUACCCUCGAGGAAGGACAUCACCCACAGAAGAAGCACCGGCUAACUCCGUGCCAGCAGCCGCGGUAAUACGGAGGGUGCGAGCGUUAAUCGGAAUUACUGGGCGUAAAGCGCGCGUAGGCGGUCUGAUAAGCCGGUUGUGAAAGCCCCGGGCUCAACCUGGGAACGGCAUCCGGAACUGUCAGGCUAGAGUGCUGGAGAGGAAGGUAGAAUUCCCGGUGUAGCGGUGAAAUGCGUAGAGAUCGGGAGGAAUACCAGUGGCGAAGGCGGCCUUCUGGACUGACACUGACGCUGAGGUGCGAAAGCGUGGGUAGCAAACAGGAUUAGAUACCCCAGUAGUC
rnacentral:rRNA from 1 species